GACGAACGCUGGCGGCGUGCUUAACACAUGCAAGUCGAGCGGUAAGGCCCUUUCGGGGGUACACGAGCGGCGAACGGGUGAGUAACACGUGGGUGACCUGCCCUUAGCUCUGGGAUAAGCCUGGGAAACUGGGUCUAAUACCGGAUAUGACCUCAUGACGCAUGUUGUGGGGUGGAAAGCCUUGUGCGGCUAGGGAUGGGCCCGCGGCCUAUCAGCUUGUUGGUGGGGUGAUGGCCUACCAAGGCGACGACGGGUAGCCGGCCUGAGAGGGCGACCGGCCACACUGGGACUGAGACACGGCCCAGACUCCUACGGGAGGCAGCAGUGGGGAAUCUUGCGCAAUGGGCGAAAGCCUGACGCAGCGACGCCGCGUGA
rnacentral:rRNA from 1 species